rnacentral:rRNA from 1 species
GAUGAACGCUAGCUACAGGCUUAACACAUGCAAGUCGAGGGGCAGCAUGAACUUAGCUUGCUAAGUUUGAUGGCGACCGGCGCACGGGUGAGUAACACGUAUCCAACCUGCCGAUGACUCGGGGAUAGCCUUUCGAAAGAAAGAUUAAUACCCGAUGGCAUAGUUCUUCCGCAUGGUAGAACUAUUAAAGAAUUUCGGUCAUCGAUGGGGAUGCGUUCCAUUAGGUUGUUGGCGGGGUAACGGCCCACCAAGCCUUCGAUGGAUAGGGGUUCUGAGAGGAAGGUCCCCCACAUUGGAACUGAGACACGGUCCAAACUCCUACGGGAGGCAGCAGUGAGGAAUAUUGGUCAAUGGACGAGAGUCUGAACCAGCCAAGUAGCGUGAAGGAUGACUGCCCUAUGGGUUGUAAACUUCUUUUAUACGGGAAUAAAGUGAGGCACGUGUGCCUUUUUGUAUGUACCGUAUGUAUAAGGAUCGGCUAACUCCGUG